rnacentral:rRNA from 1 species
AAUAGUUAAGUUUGUAUAUAAGUAGGUAUUGCAUACCGUUUAAAAAAAAUUUUAUAAAGAUAAAUAAUAGAAUUAAAAGGUAGAAAAAUUUAUUGUUUUUAUUGUUUCAUAAUAAAAAUUAUAAUUUUUAGUGUUGAAAAGUCGACUUUUAAGAUAUCUGUAAGUUUAUUAUAAUUAGAAAUUUAUUGUGAGGUAGUUUUAUUAUUUAUAUAAAAAGUAAGAGUUAGAGUAUCUGUUGUAUUAGUUUUAUAACAGUUUAUAAUUUUAUUUUAUUUUUAUUGUAUAUAUUUAUAUAAUAAUAUUUUAUUAUAUAUAUUAUUUUAAAAUUAGUAGUUAUAAUUUAGUAACGUAAAUUUAUUAUAAUAUAAUCAAAAAACUCGGUAGUUAAUCAAAUGUUUUUUAAAGACUUAGACUUUUUAAUAAAGUUUGCUUCUGCCCUAUGAAUAUUUUAAAUGGCAGUCUUAGCGUGAGGACAUUAAGGUAGCAAAAUAAUUAGUGCUUUUAUUGGGUUCCAGUAUGAAUGAAGUUAUUGGUUAAUUUAUUUUUUGAUUUUUAUAUGAAUUUUUUAUUAAUAAUAAAAAAGUAUUAGUAUAAUAAAACAAAGAUAAGUCUUCGGAAAUUCUUUUUUAAAAACAUUAAAUUAUUGUUUUUAAAAAUUUUCUAGGGUAGAAAUUUAUAUAUUUUGUUAUAUCUAUUUAUAAUUUAAGGAAUUACUCCGGAGUUAACAGAAAAUCAUAUCUAAUCUAGUUCUUAUAGUAAGAUAAGUUUUACAUCGAUGUUGUAUUUAAGUAAAUUAAGAAAGGAGAAUGUUUAAUAUUUAAGACUGUUCUUCUUUAAAUUAACUUAACGUGAUAUUAGUUUAAUUCAUCGUGAGAUAGAAUUGUUUAUCUUGUUUAUUAUUGUGAAAAAAUUUUAAUAGUACGAAAGGAAAAUUAAAAAAAAUUUUAAAUUUUUUAAGUUUUGAGCUU